rnacentral:lncRNA from 1 species
ACUCCCCUUCGGAUAUUACCGGGAAUUUAUAAUUAAAUUUAUAUUUAUUGUAAAUAAACUUCAAAAAUUCAUAUCUCCCUCAUACGAACUCCAUUUUUGACGUUCUUUAUAUCCACGCGAAGGUGAGACCAUGAUCUACAACUUUCGUUUAGAUUCCGUUGGCAAAUUCCGAAAUUAUUUUUAUUAUUUAUUUAUUAAAAUGACGUGAUUAAGGAAUUUCUUCAAAAAUUCAUAACUUCCUCAUCCGAAGUCAGAUUUGGACGUUCUUUUUAUGUACGCAAACCUUGAUAUGAUUCCUAUUACUUUAUUUAAUCCGAAUAAGAUUUUAGGAAGGUUACAUUUUGACCUAAAUUUGAUCGGUUUUACAUUACAUUGACUCGAAAUAUCGGGUUGUCACAUCAUCCCCCCGUUAGAAGGAAUUUCGUCCCGAAAUUAGAAUUUUAAGCAAGNAUUAUUUUUAUUAUUUAUUUAUUAAAAUGACGUGAUUAAGGAAUUUCUUCAAAAAUUCAUAACUUCCUCAUUCGAAGUCAGAUUUGGACGUUCUUUUUAUGCACGCAAACCUUGAUAUGAUUCCUACUACUUUAUUUAAUCCGAAUAAGAUUUUAGGAAGGUUACAUU